rnacentral:piRNA from 1 species
UGGUUCCUGAAGCGAUUUCUGCUCUGC